rnacentral:rRNA from 1 species
UGGUGGAGUGAUUUGUCUGGUUAAUUCCGAUAACGGGCGAGACCUCAACUAGUUGAUUACUGAUUCGUGGUUUUCACGAGCUCAGCAUUAACUGGACAAUGAAUUAUUAGUUCGAGGAAGUUUGAGGCUACAACA